ensembl:lncRNA
CAGGAAUUCUGAGAUUUGUUAGCGCUGCUUUCUUUAACGGAAAUUGAGCCCUAUUUUGAGGGAAAUUAGUUUUGCAGACUUCGUUAAAAAAAAAAAAAAAAAAAGGUUAAAACUUUUGUUCACCAGCUGCUCAACUUUUCAGUCUGGGUUUGAGCUGGAACCUGCUGCAAGCGUUUGACGGUACCAAAUUACAAGUAUAUAUACACAUAUCUGUCAAAAUGAUGUAAGACCUGAAAUCUCUCUGUAAGUUGAUCCUCUUGACCCCAUGAUUAGGAGCUUCACAAUGUGGUACCACACCUGGAAAUCUCCAGAACAAGAUCUCAAGGAAACACAGGAAAUUCCUGGAGUGGCAAAACAUCCUAUUUGAAGAUAUUCAAUUAUUCCUCUGUGCAUCAGGAGCAUCGCCAUGACUUAACUAUUCACAUGCUUGAAAGAGUUUGUUUAACAAGAGCCUUUGCAGGAAAAUAAAAAGAGCCAGGUAUAUUAUUGAUGAUGGACUAGACAAUGCCGUCAUGAGUAGAAGUGCAUACCUAACUGUCAUGGGAAUUAGGACAACAGUUGUGUCCACACACAAUGAGAGAGUGGUUCAAAUUCUUGACGAAAUUUGUCUUCAAGCAUCUGCACUUGUGCUGGGACACCAAUCUCUGCAUGUGAAUUAGAGUCAUUCCCUGUCAGAUACUAUGUUUUAUUUUCAAUCAGUAUUGUCCAUUCUGUAAUGGUUCAUUGCGUAGAGUUGAAGAUGACAUUUUGGGCUGUGUCUUGUAUUUGUCGCUUACUGGCAUUUUGAUUGUGGUCAGGUUAAUUAACUUCUUGUGUCUAGGUUUUCUCAUUUUUAAAGAAAGAUGUUGAUUUCUAUAGUUUCCUGUUGGCAAACUAGCAAGUCCAUGUAAGUCUACACUUAAUACUAAGUCUACUAUAUCAGGGAAAGAUACUGUUAUCAUAGUGAUAAUUUUUAUUAUUGUCUAUCCUAAAGAUCUUAUUCUGUCUAAAAAGAAGUCCUUAUAAAAAUCUUUAAAAGUAUUCACCUAUAUAUAUGUGUGUGUGUGUAUAUAUAUAUAUAUAUAUAUGUGUGUGUGUGUAUAUAUAUAUAUAUUCAUUCAUUCCACUUCCCCCUCAAUUAACACUCUUAACAUCUUGAAACAUCUUGACCUAGGACAAGAUUCCAUGCAUGUUUGUUGAAUGAGUAAAUGAUAUACUAACAAAAAAAAAAGUAACUUUAUUCUCAACAUUUUAUACAUAAAUGAUCAUACAUUUACUUUGCAUGCAUUUCACUUUUCACUUGCUUCAAAAUAUGAUUUUAAAAAACCUCCUGGCAUAUAAAACCUAGAAAUAGGGCUGAGUGACAAAAAACUCUUCAAUAUGGCCAAAAGAACUAUUAAGUUCUAAGGAAGAAGCUAUAUAAUAUUGCUUAACUAUAGUACUUUAGAAUACACUUAUAUGUAGUACUUGGCACAUUUUAUUUUAGGUUUUACUGCAUCCAGACUUUGCUUUAAAGAUAAUUAAUUUCUCUUUAAUAGCAUAUGUUUAGUGAAAUAAUAACAACUGGACAAAUCCUACCUUCAAAUGUGUUGAAACAUGCAACCCCUUGAACUCCAAAUAAAUAGAGAUUUUAACGGUGAAGCAAAAUCCUCCCCCAAACAAAUAACAUUAUAGAAUUUAAGAUUUAACAUUUAUGCAUGAAUUACGCUUCAUUUAUAUAUUAAGUAUAUAUAAAGUAUACUAAAAGUAAGCUAAUUAUUACACAGGUAAUGAUCAGGACUUUCUAUAUUAUCUAUUCCUGAAAAAUGUCAGAUAGCUGUAUUAGAUAUACAUGAACCUAGUUUUAUUAUAUGACUACAAUUUCUAUUUUUUAAUUGAAUCUCUUUGUAGUUCUGGAAAGGUUUACUGUUGAUUUACAGUCAAACUUGAUAUUAACAAAAUAAAUUAACACAAAGAAAGGAAAACUUCCUAGAGCAGUUGUUUCAGAACCCUAAAUAACAGAAGGACCUUCUCUUUUUUAACAAAAUAAAUUCAUUAUAGAACCAACUCUCUGAAGUGAACAAUAAGAAGCAGAGCAGUCAUGAUGGACUCAGAUAAAGGGACUCUGGUAGCACAUGCCUGCGGUUCUGCCUUUUCCUCACCUACCUGCCACAGGUUUAUGGGUGUAACCUACAAAGAAUGAAAGGAGCUAGGUACACAAUCUGAAAACCACUAAUCUCUCUCAUGUAUACAAUCCACCUGGUAAAAUGACCUCUGAAAUGCCAUACCUGUGUUUUCCUGAUCCACUGAUGUAUUCGAUAGGCAUACUUCUGGAGUAAACCUUUGAGUCAUAUUAUUUUCUUCUAUUUUUGUCUUCAAGUGUCUAGUAAUCAGCCCUUCAGAUUUUCUAUUAAAAAUAUGUAUAUAUAGAUUGUCAAACUUUGCAACUGUAGAAAUAUUUUAGUGGAGAAGAUUUUAGUGUAAUAACCCCGUAUUUAUUGAGCGUCAAAAUUAGAAGAAAAAAGCUAUAUGAGGCAUAUUUCCAUAAGAUCUGAACAGCACAAUGUUAUUAAGCAGAAUCCAAAAAGGAUCUAAUCUGUAUAGAAUUCAGUGCCAGAAAAACAGAUUGCCAGACUGAAAACGGGGCAAAUAACACGAAAUUUUAAAUUGUCAAAGAAAAAAUACAUGUGAUCAAGAAAUAGAAAAUAAUGCAAGCUACUUGUAAUCAAAAUACAGGUUAAAGGAUAUAUUAUUUUCCUCCUACCAAAUUGACAAAGUUUAAAAACAAGUUAUUUAAAAACAAGUGACAAAGGAUUUAGGAAAAUAAUGACACAUACACUAUGGGUAAGAGUAUAAUUAAAAAAGAUUACUGAGACAAAACCAGCAUCAAAUGUUAACUUUUGAUGUGGAAAUGUCAGAUAAUUAUAUAUUCAAAGUCAUCACAAAUAUCAAAAAUUUGUGUGAAAUUAUCUGAAGUGAUAUUCAUUAUAUGAAAAAUGUAUAUCUAAUAAUGAAAUUGAUCAAAUGCUUUAUGUUAAAUCAUUAUGAAAAAUAUAGUUGAACUAUUAAAAAUCAUGUUCUAAAGUAACAAGAAAGAAUACAGAAAAUCAGUUAUAAUUCUAAGAAAAAAAGGCUACAAACAUGGCAAACAAUCCAAAAACGAUCACAACAUACAUCUUUUGUUUUGUAUAUUUUAUGUAUUUGUUAUGUAUAUUAUUUUCUUUCACUCACUAUGUAUAUUAUAAAUUCACAUAUAAUUGGUAUCAUUCAGUCAGUCAUCAAUUCAGUUGCUCAGUCAUGUCCGACUAUUUGUGACUCCAUGGACUGCAGCACGCAAGGCUUCCCUGUCCAACACCAACUCCUGGAGCUUGCUAAAACUUAUGUCCAUCGAAUCUGUGAUGCUAUCCAACCGUCUCAUCCUUCAUCAUCCCCUUCUCCUGCCUUCAAUCAUUCCCAGCAUCAGGGACUUUUCCAAGGAGUCAGUUCUUCGCAUCAGUCCAAGGUAUUGGAGCUUCAGCUUCAGCAUCAGUCCUUCAAAUGAAUAUUCAGGACUGAUUUCCUUUAGGAUGGACGGGUUGGGUCUCCUUGCAGUCCAAGGGACUCUCAAGUCUUCUCCAACACCACAGUUCAAAAGCAUUAAUUCUUCAGUGCUCAGCUUUCUUUAUAGUCCAACUCUCACAUCUAUACAUGACUACUGGAAAAACCAUAGCUUUGAGUAGAUGGACCUUUGUUAGCAAAGUAAUGUCUCUGCUUUUUAAUAUGCUGUUUAGCUUGAUCAUAGCUUUUCUUCCAAGGAGCAAGCAUCUUUUAAAUUCAUGAAUCCAAUCACCAUCUGCAGUGAUUUUGGAGCCCCCCAAAAAUUGUCUGUCACUAUUUCCAUUGUUUUCCCAUCUCUUUGCCAUGAAGUGAUGGGAAUGGAUGCCAUGAUCUACAUUUUUUUAAUGGUGAGUUUUAAGCCAAAUUUUUCACUCUCUUCUUUCACUUUCAUCCUCUUCUUUCACUUUCAUCAAGAGGCUCUUCCAUUCUUCUUCACUUUCUGCCUUAGGGUGGUGUCAUCUGCAUAUCUGAGGUUAUUGAUAUUUCUCCCGGAAAUCUUGAUUCCAGCUUGUGCUUCUUCCAGCUUGGCAUUUCGCAUGAUGUACUCUCCACAUAAGUUAAAUAAGCAGGGUGACAAUAUACAGCCUUGAUGUACUCCUUUUCCUAUUUGGAACCAAUCUGUUGUUCCAUGUCCAGUUCUAACUGUUGCUUCCUGACCUGCAUAUAGGUUUCUCAAAAGGCAGGUCAGGUGGUCUGUAUUCCCAUCUCUUUCAGGGUUUUCCACAGUGUAUUGUGAUCCACACAGUCAAAGGCUUUGGCAUGGGCAAUAAAGCAGAAAUAGAUGUUUUCCUGGAACUCUCUUGCUUUUUCGAUGAUCCAGUGGAUGUUGGCAAUUUGACCUCUGGUUCCUCUGCCUUUUCUAAAACCAGCUUGGACACCUGAAAGUUCACGGUUCACAUAUUGCUGAAGCCUGCCUUGGAGAAUUUUGAGAUGACUUUACUAGCGUGUGAGAUGAGUGCAAUUGUGCAGUAGUUUGAGCAUUCUUUGGCAUUGCCUUUCUUUGAGACUGGAAUGAAAACUGACCUUUUCCGGUCCUGUGGCCACUGCUGAGUUUUCCAAAUUUGCUGGCGUAUUGAGCGCAGCACUUUCACAGCAUCAUCUUUCAGGAUUUGAAAUAGCUCCACUGGAAUUCCAUCACCUCCGCUAGCUUUGUUCAUAGUGAUGCUUCCUAAGGGCCACUUGACUUCACAUUCCACGAUGUCUGGCUCUAAGUGAGUGAUCACACCAUCGUGAUUAUCUUGGUUGUGAAGAUCUUUUUGUACAGUUCUUUUGUGUAUUCUUGCCACCUCUCCUUAAUAUCUUCUGCUUCUGUUAGGUCCAGACCAUUUCUGUCCUUUAUUGAGCCCAUCUUUGCAUGAAAUGUUCCCUUGGUAUCUCUAAUUUUCUUGAAGAGAUCUCUAGUCUUUCCCAUUCUGUUCUUUUCCUCUAUUUCUUUGCAUUGAUUGCUGAGGAAGACUUUCUUAUCUCUUCUUGCUAUUCUUUGGAACUCUGCAUUUAGAUGCCUAUAUCUUUCCUUUUCUGCUUUACUUUUCACCUCUCUUCUCUUCACAGCUAUUUGUAAGGCCUCCCCAGACAGCCAUUUUGCUUUUUUGCAUUUCUUUUCCAUGGGGAUGGUCUUGAUCCCUGUCUCCUAUACAAUGUCACGAACCUCAGUCCAUAGUUCAUCAGGCACUCUAUCUAUCAGAUCUAGGCCCUUAAAUCUAUUUCUCACUUCCACUGUAUAAUCAUAAGGGAUUUGAUUUAGGUCAUACCUGAAUGGUCUAAUGGUUUUCCCUACUUUCUUCAAUUUAAGUCUGAAUUUGGAAAUAAAGAGUUCAUGAUCUGAGCCACAGUCAGCUCCUGGUCUUGUUUUUGUUGACUGUAUAGAGCUUCUCCAUCUUUGGCUGCAAAGAAAAUAUAAUCAAUCUGAUUUCGUUGUUGACCAUCUGGUGAUGUCCAUGUGUAGACUCUUCUCUUGUGUUUUUGGAAGAGGGUGUUUGCUAUGACCAGUGUGUUUUCUUGGCAAAACUCUAUUAGUCUUUGCCCUGCUUCAUUCUGUAUUCCAAGGCCAAAUUUGCCUGUUACUUCAGGUGUUUCUUGACUCCCUACUUUUGCAUUCCAGUCCCCUAUAAUGAAAAGGAUAUCUUUUUUGGGUGUUAGUUCUAAAAGGGCUUGUAGGUCUUCAUAGAACCGUUCAGCUUCUUCAGCAUUACUAGUUGGAGCAUAGACUUGGAUUACUGUGAUAUUGAAUGGUUUGUCUUGGAAAUGAACAGAGUUCAUUGUGUCGUUUUUGAGAUGCAUCCAAGUACUCCAUUUCGGACUCCUUUGUUGACCAUGAUGGCUACUCCAUUUCUUCUAAGGGAUUCCUGCCCGCGGUAGUAGAUAUAAUGGUCAUCUGAGUUAAAUUCAUUCAUUACAGUCCAUUGCGUUAUCCCUUAGGAUCUGCAAUAGCUCAAUGUAAUUCUGUCACCUCUACUAGCUCUGUUCUUAGUGAUGCUUCCUAAGGGCCACUUGACUUCACAUUCCAGGAUGUCUGGCUCUAGAUGAGUGAGCACACCAUCGUGGUUACUUGGGUCAUGAAGAUAAUUUUGUGUAGUUCUGUGUAUUCUUGCCACCUCUUCUUAAUAUCGUCUGUUAGGUUCAUACCAUUUCUGUUCUUUCUUGUGCCCAUCUUUGCAUGAAAUGUUCCCUUGGUAUCUCUAAUUUUCUUGGAAGAAAUCUCUAGCCUUCCCAUUCUGUUGUUUCCCUCUAUUUCUUUGCAUUCAUCACUUAGGGAGUCUUUCCUAUCUCUCCUUGUUAUUCUUUGAAACUCUGCAUUAAAAUGGGUAUAUCUUUCCUUUUCUCCUUUGCCUUUCACUUACUUUCUCAGCUAUGUGUAAGGCCUCCUCAAACGACCAUUUGCCUUUUGGCAUUUCUUUUUCUUGGGGAUUGUCUUGAUUACUGCUUUCUUGAUUAAUGUCAAGAACCUCUGUCCAUAGUUUUUCAGGCACUCUAUCAAAUCUAAUCCCUUGAGUCUAUUUCUCACUUCCACUGUUUAAUUGAAAGGGAUUUGAUUUAGGUCAUACCUGAAUGGUCUAGUGGUUUUCCCUACUUUUUUCAAUUUAAGUCUGAAUUUGGCAAUAAGGAGUUCAUGAUCUGAGCCACAGUCAGCUCCUGGUCUUAUUUGUGCUGACUGUAUAGAGCUUCUCCAUCUUUGGCUGCAAAGAAUAUAAUCAAUCUGAUUUCGGUAUUGACUAUCUGUUGAUGUCCAUGUGUAGAGUCUUCUCUUGUGUUGCUGGAAGAGGGUAUUUGCUAUGACCAGUGUGUUUUCUUGGCAAAACUCUAUUAGCCUUUGCCCUGCUUCAUUUUAUGCUCCAAGGCCAAAUCUUCCUGUUACUCCAGGUAUCUCCUAACUUCCUACUCUAGUAUCAGUAGGUAUACUCAAAACGACAGCAGUUUAAUGAAUUAUUUCUGGUUGGUGAGAUUAGUAGGUAUUUGUAUUAUUUCUUCAAAUGUUUCAAAGUUGUUUAGUAAUUUUGCUUAAUGAAGGUAUGUCACUUUUAUAAUCAAGAAAACAUUAUUAUUUCUAUAUAAUUAAAAGAUGUCUGACGAAGCAAAAAAAGUCUCUGUGGUUUGAGAGUGCCGAAUCCUAACCACUAGACCACCAGGAAUGAAGAAAAAGUCUCUGUGGUUUGAAUAAACAUUUUUAUUUAAGAAAUGCAUAGAAAUAAUUAUAUAAUUAUUGACUGGCUAGAAGCUUGUUUCAAAUACAAUGAUUAUCUUUGCUAUGUCAUUCCUUAGAAACUACUGUUCCUCUUUCUAAAUAGCGUCCAUCACUCUAAAACUGUUUUAUCUCCAAUUUAGAGCUGCUAAUCUGAAUCAAUUCAAAUGAGAAAAGGUUCAGUUGUCUGCCUCUACAGUACAGUGAAGCAUAUGGAAUGCAUUACACCGAAGACUGAGAGAUCACCCUGGCUGCAUGGCAGGGUCUGGAGUAUAAGCCAAGGUGUUGUCUUGGACAAAUAUAGUCCUUAAUGGUUUGAGUUAUAGUAAAUUUGAAACCGAUUCUUCUCCAACGUGUGAAAACAGAGACUGAGUUAGGGAAUUUUUUUUUUUCUUUUUUUGGCAAUGGCAAUGUUUAAUCUUUAGUGGGGGUCAGAACAGUAGAAGGUGUUCUCAUAUUAAGGUAUGACGAGGAAAAGUUCAGAAUAUCACAUGACGCCUCCCAUUGUCUAAGAUGCAUGAACUGCCAUAGUGUUAAGGCAGAAGUUCACAGAGCUCCAGUGUCUUGAGAUUUUCAGACACACUGUAGAGCUCAAACCGCUGCCUAUUCUCCAGCUGAUAUCAUUUUGGGAAAUAUGUUGUUUAACUAACUGUGAAAAUAGCACAUUCAAAUUUCUAACAUGUAACCAAAGGAGUUUUCUUUCGUUACUCAGUCGUGAAUGUAUGGCACAAGAAAACACAGCUUAAUAUCCAUGUGCAGUGAGGAAACACCCCCUCUCUCCCUUUUCCUCUCCUUCCUCUCCCUACCUGCUCCCUCUCUAGCAUAUGACUUAGGUACUGUUAUUGGUAUCUUUAUUAUUAAUAUAACCCUGGCAUCAUCAGAGUUUAAGCGAGGCUGGAAAUUCUUUGAAAUGUAAAAUGAACAACAAAAAUUAGGGCUGGAAGAGAAUUUAGAACUCAUCUAGUUUAAUCUUCUGUUUAAAGAAGAAUACAAAGGUAUUGAUGACUUGUGAAUGACCCAUAAGGUCUUAAGUUAAAUUAGUUGUAAUUUACUAAUGGACUGUGACAAAAUUUAAAUCCCAUAUAGUUAACAAAUCUAAUACAACAUUUUAAAACAGCACUGAUAUUUGCUAUUAUUGGAUUAUUAUCAACUUUAAGCUCCAAUUACAGGGGCUUUGUGAUAAAAAAUCCACCCACAAAUCCAAGAGACAUGGGUUUAAUCCCUGGGCCCGGAAGAUCCCCUGGAGAAGGGAAUGGUAAUUUGUUCCAGUGUUCUUAUCUGGAAAAUCCCAUGGACAGGGUUGCCUGGCAGGAUAUGGUCUGUGGGAUCUCAAAGAGUUGGACAUGACUAAGCACUCAUACAUGCAAAGAUCUGAAGAGGUCUAUCUCAUUUUUAGUUAUAUUUUGUUUAACUGAGGAGGAAUACAUAUGAAUAUACAUGAUAUUAACAAAUAUAUGAAUCCUCAAAUGCUAGAUUAAAUUCCUUUACAAAUGAUAGCAUGCUUUUAUAUUGUGCAAAAAUUUUUAUUGAAGUAUAACAUAUAUAAAGAAAAUAACGCAUAUUUUGGUGAGAAAAUUGUUUUAAGAAUUUCCUUAAGAUCAUAGACCCAAUAUCAUUCUUUAGCCUUAAAUGUACUGAUGGAAAAAUGAGAAACAUCAAUUGAAAUGUUCAUUACUCAUCAUGACAUUCUCUCCAGAGCCCGUGAGAGCUUCAUCCAGUCAGGCCACAAAUGGCAGUCAAAGCAACAUGAUUCCUCAGCUGGCACUUGUUUAUGCUGAGGGCUUAAAUGUGACCGCGGUCCCUGAAGAACUGUGAUAUCAUGUAACAUUGCCAUGGCAGCCAAACUCAUUUACAAGGGCAUAUAUACAACAACAUGAGCCAUAUGAUGUGUGUAUAAAGGAAUUUUAUCUGGAAUAAUGAAAGUAUAUUACUGAAGCAAUUGCAACAUAUUGCUUAAUUACCAUUGGUAUCAGUUAAGUUCAGUCAU